rnacentral:tRNA from 1 species
AGGCGCGUAGCUCAGUUGGUUAGAGCACUUGGUCGACAUCCAAGGGGUCGGUGGUUCGAGUCCACUCGUGCCUACCA